GGCUAGCAGAAAGACUAACCGGAUUGCAGAACCGAGAGAUCUGCCAUUUCUUUGUGGAGACAUGAUUCUGUUUCUUACCAAAAGGCAGUUUCAGGUAGAAAAUCUAGUGUAUUAACUGUGAGAAUUCUAGAGCUUCACGAGAAAUGCACCGUGCAGGUUGCCAUGUGUGAACAGUUAGUGGGGUCGACAGCUGCUGUCCCUUCCAGGGAUGUGGCUGCUGGGCCAGCCUGAAAGUUCUCUUACUCGGGAGACUGCGUGUUACUUCAGGGGAUGUCCCCAGGAUGUUACCCACAUCCUUCCUCCCUGGCAAAAACUUAUCCCAAAUGGAAGUCGCCCUGUUAUUCUGAAUACUUAUUUCUGUCAGAAAGAAGGUGCAGAAACAACUCACAAACUAUAUGUCAUGACAUGCUCCUUCCAAGAGGAAACAUCACUUUGGCCCAGAUGUUUAAAAUCAAGGAUCUAUCCAAUAAUUCACCUGAAAGUCAGAUGUGUCUAGUGACCUGGCCACCACAGGCACAGACUGGACCAACAGGCACAGACUGAA
rnacentral:lncRNA from 1 species